CACGUAGGGCGCAAGCGUUGUCCGGAAUUAUUGGGCGUAAAGAGCUCGUAGGCGGUCUGUUGCGUCCGCUGUGAAAACUCGGGGCUUAACCCCGAGCCUGCAGUGGGUACGGGCAGACUAGAGUGCGGUAGGGGAGAUUGGAAUUCCUGGUGUAGCGGUGGAAUGCGCAGAUAUCAGGAGGAACACCAAUGGCGAAGGCAGAUCUCUGGGCCGUAACUGACGCUGAGGAGCGAAAGCAUGGGGAGCGAACAGG
rnacentral:rRNA from 1 species